UACGAAGGGGGCUAGCGUUGCUCGGAAUCACUGGGCGUAAAGCGCACGUAGGCGGACUUUUAAGUCAGGGGUGAAAUCCUGGAGUCAACUCCAGAACUGCCUUUGAUACUGGAAGUCUUGAGUUCGAGAGAGGUGAGUGGAACUGCGAGUGUAGAGGUGAAAUUCGUAGAUAUUCGCAAGAACACCAGUGGCGAAGGCGCUCACUGGCUCGAUACUGACGCUGAGGUGCGAAAGCGUGGGGAGCAAACAGG
rnacentral:rRNA from 1 species